UAGUUAAUUAGUUAGCUAGGUCGUUAGAUGGUUAAUUACUAAAAGUUAGUCAGUUAGGUAGGAAGGCAGAUAGUUAAGUAAUUAGUUUAAUGAUAGUCAAACAGCUAGUAGAGAGUUAGCUGGUUAGGUUGAUAGUUAGAUAGUGGAUCAUUCUUUUUUCAGUAUUUUGUGUUUUUACAUUUUUUUGCUGCUGUGUGUUGAUCUUGGUGUUCUGUUUGUAUAUUGUAAUUCUUAAUGUCCUGUUUUUUUAUAUCAUCCUUUUUUGGUGUCUUAUUUAUAUCUUAUUCCCCUUUUUGCUGUUUAUUUUUUAUAUCAUUCAUUAUAUGGAAUUCUGUGUUGGUCUGGAUGAGCCUCUUUGUCCCCAUAAAAGACUCACAAGUAAUUUGGUUGAUGUUGAUGUUAGAGGAAAAAAGUGGAUGAUGUGUGUUUGUAUUGUAGUAUAUUUAUAUUUGAUUAUACUAUAUGUUAUUUAUUUAUUUAAUUGUUUAAUUUGUUUAUUUUAUUUUAUUUUAUUUAUUUAUUUAUUUGGUUGGUUGGUUUGAAUUCGGAGUUUUCCUUCUCCUAGGAGGACUGCCUACCACGGCUAACGACCUCCUCCUGCCCGGGUUUGUGGUCAGAGUUGUCCUUCUCCUAGGUGAACUGCCUUACGCUAACGAGUUCCACCAGCCCGGGUUUGUAAUCGGAGUUUGCUCUCCUAGGUGAACUGCCUUACGCUAACGACCUCCACCAGCCCGGGUUUGUUGUUCGGAGUUUGCUCUCCUAGGUGAACUGCCUUGCGCUAACGAGCUCCACCAGCCCGGGUUUGUUGUUCGGAGUUUGCUCUCCUAGGUGAACUGCCUUGCGCUAACGAGCUCCACCAGCCCGGGUUUGUUGUUCGGAGUUGUCCCUCUCCUAGGUGAACUGCCUACCACGGCUAACGAUCUCCACCUGUCCGGGUUUGUUGUUCGGAGUUUUCCUUCUCCUAGGAGGACUGCCUACCACGGCUAACGACCCCCUCCUGCCCGGGUUUGUGGUCAGAGUUGUCCUUCUCCUAGGUGAACUGCCUUACGCUAACGACCUCCACCAGCCCGGGUUUGUAAUCGGAGUUUGCUCUCCUAGGUGAACUGCCUUACGCUAACGAGCUCCACCAGCCCGGGUUUGUUGUUCGGAGUUUGCUCUCCUAGGUGAACUGCCUUACGCUUACGACCUCCACCAGCCCGGGUUUGUAAUCAGAGUUUGCUCUCCUAGGUGAACUGCCUUACGCUAACGAACUCCACCAGCCCGUGUUUGUUGUUCGGAGUUGUCCCUCUCCUAGGUGAACUGCCUACCACGGCUGACGAUCUCCACCUGCCCGGGUUUGUUGUUCGGAGUUGUCCCUCUCCUAGGUGAACUGCCUACCACGGCUGACGAUCUCCACCUGCCCGGGUUUGUUGUUCGAAGUUGUCCCUCUCCUAGGUGAACUGCCUACCACGGCUGACGAUCUCCACCUGCCCGGGUUUGUUGUUCGGAGUUGUCCCUCUCCUAGGUGAACUGCCUACCACGGCUGACGAUCUCCACCUGCCCGUGUUUGUUGUUCGGAGUUGUCCCUCUCCUAGGUGAACUGCCUACCACGGCUGACGAUCUCCACCUUCCCGGGUUUGUUGUUCGGAGUUGUCCCUCUCCUAGGUGAACUGCCUACCACGGCUAACGAUCUCCACCUGCCCGGGUUUGUUGUUCGGAGUUGUCCCUCUCCUAGGUGAACUGCCUACCACGGCUGACGAUCUCCACCUUCCCGGGUUUGUUGUUCGGAGUUGUCCCUCUCCUAGGUGAACUGCCUACCACGGCUGACGAUCUCCACCUUCCCGGGUUUGUUGUUCGGAGUUGUCCCUCUCCUAGGUGAACUGCCUACCACGGCUGACGAUCUCCACCUUCCCGGGUUUGUUGUUCGGAGUUGUCCCUCUCCUAGGUGAACUGCCUACCACGGCUGACGAUCUCCACCUUCCCGGGUUUGUUGUUCGGAGUUGUCCCUCUCCUAGGUGAACUGCCUACCACGGCUGACGAUCUCCACCUGCCCGGGUUUGUUGUUCGAAGUUGUCCCUCUCCUAGGUGAACUGCCUACCACGGCUGACGAUCUCCACCUGUCCGGGUUUGUUGUUCGGAGUUGUCCCUCUCCUAGGUGAACUGCCUACCACGGCUGACGAUCUCCACCUGCCCGGGUUUGUUGUUCGAAGUUGUCCCUCUCCUAGGUGAACUGCCUACCACGGCUGACGAUCUCCACCUGUCCGGGUUUGUUGUUCGAAGUUGUCCCUCUCCUAGGUGAACUGCCUACCACGGCUGACGAUCUCCACCUGCCCGGGUUUGUUGUUCGAAGUUGUCCCUCUCCUAGGUGAACUGCCUACCACGGCUGACGAUCUCCACCUUCCCGGGUUUGUGGUCAGAGUUGUCCUUCUCCUAGGUGAACUGCCUUACGCUAACGACCUCCACCAGCCCGGGUUUGUAAUCAGAGUUUGCUCUCCUAGGUGAACUGCCUUACGCUUACGAGCUCCACCAGCCCGGGUUUGUUGUUCGGAGUUUGCUCUCCUAGGUGAACUGCCUACCAGGGCUAACGAGCCCCACCUACCCGGGCAUAUCUCCGGCACCUCCGCGAACGCCCCAGAGGACACCAAGUUGCCCUUCGGGGAGCUCUCCAGUACUGCCACGCUCGCCAGGGAGACCUUGGGCUCGCUGGCGCUCCUUAGCCCUGCCGAGGCGAGGAGGGCAGAUGCUAGAACUCGCUUCUUAAAACUACCAGACUGGAUUAUGAAAUUUAUUAUUAAUACUGUGAAUGCGCUGCUCACUGCGUUUAUCAUUUUUGGGAUGGAAGGCCGAAGGGCCUCGGGAACGCGCACAGAAUAUCCAAAAUCUUCCUCCGUUUCCCUCUUUUUUUUCUUUCUUCCAAUAUUUCUUUUUUAUUACAUGUUCCUUAUCUUUAUUUGUCUGUUUUAUUAUUCAUUUAUUUAUUAUUUCUCUCUUAGAUAAUUGAGAGAGUAGAUAAUGUCCGGAGGGGGAAAUGUUCAGAAGGGAAUAUGUUGAUGGGGGACUUUGUCAAGGGGGAAAACGUUCGGAGAAGUAAAGUCCUUGAGGGAAUAUGUUCGGCACCCGCUACUACUACUACUACUACUACUACUACUACUACUACUACUACUAAUAUACUACUGCUACUACUAUACUACUGCUACUACUACACUGCUGCUACUACUACACAAGUACUACGUAUAAAAUUUAGAUAUUUUUUCAACCUUGUCAAACACAUGCCAUUUUGCUAAACUAAAGGAAUAGGGAAAAUAUUCUUAAUUUUUUUUCGAGUGGUAGCUAUUCUCAUAUCUUAAGAAGUAAGAAAAAAUAACUGUGCUUAACUUUAGUCUUGUUGCCAGGAAUAAGAUAAUAUUGUAGUCAUGCGUAAUGCUUGCAAAACAUGCCUUGGGGUCUCUUUAUCUUAGUUAUUCGUCAGUGUGUCACGUAGGUACUCUUUUCUUCCAUAUGUUUCCUUCAUCCUGUGUGUCCGCCCAUUGCCAUCUCUUGAUAUUAAUUGCCUUUAUUGUGUCGUCUAAAUAUUUAUGUUCUAUAGGGGGUUCUAUCAUCCCUUGUAUGAUUCCCUGCACUGAUCUCUUAUUUCUCUUGGGGCACCAACAAAGCAAAUAAACGAGCGUGAGAGAGAGAGAGAGAGAGAGAGAGAGAGAGAGAGAGAGAGAGAGAGAGAGAAUCUGUAACAACAAAAAACUAGACCGAUUACGCUAAACAAAACAAACAUACAUACAGACAGGCAGGCAGACAAACAGGACCACCGUCACGCCAGGGGCAUCGACUUACCUGGACU